rnacentral:rRNA from 1 species
GAUGAACGCUGGCGGCGUGCCUAAUACAUGCAAGUCGAGCGAACGGACGAGAAGCUUGCUUCUCUGAUGUUAGCGGCGGACGGGUGGGUAACACGUGGAUAACCUACCUAUAAGACUGGGAUAACUUCGGGAAACCGGAGCUAACACCGGAUAAUAUUUUGAACCGCAUGGUUCAAAAGUGAAAGACGGUCUUGCUGUCACUUAUAGAUGGAUCUGCGCUGCAUUAGCUAGUUGGUAAGGUAACGGCUUACCAAGGCAACGAUGCAUAGCCGACCUGAGAGGGUGGUCGCCGACACUGGAACUGAGACACGGUCCAGAGUACUACGGGAGGCAGCAGUAUGGAAUCGUCCGCAGUAGGCGGGAGCCUGACGGAGCAACGCGGCGUGAGUGGUGGAGGUCUUGGGAUCGUAAAACUCUGUUAUGAGGGAAGAACAUAUGUGUAAGUAACUGUGGAGAGCUUGACGGUACCUGGUAAGAAAGCCACGGCUAACUACGUG